rnacentral:lncRNA from 1 species
AUUUAAUUUACAGUUGGAUUGUUUUUCUGUUAGUCACAGCCAAAUGGAUUCUUUAAAGGGAAGGAAGAAGUUGUGGUUACUUAUAUCUGGGUAUAUGGCUGGGACAGGAGUGAAAGGAACAGCUUCAGAGGCACUGAUGUAGGCUUUGCUUGAAGAGUAGGUAGGGGUUCAUUAUAGCAGGUGGAAGCUUUAAUUUUACUAAACCAGCACUGCCUUGGUUUGCCAUUGGUGUGAGGGCCUGAGACUAAUUUCAGAAUGCAAUUGAAGAAGCACAGAUCAACUCCUGAGUGAGGGUGUUUCAGAGGCAGUCAUUGACAGCAGGAGGAACAAGACCACUCAUUUUGCUUUGCUUGUGGGGAAGAGAUAUAUUUCAUUAGCACAGGAAUACAUGUGUUCAUGAAGUGAAACCACAGCUAGUUAAGGAAAUAGCUAAGCAUACCUUGGCAUAGCUUUUCUUCUUCCUACAAGAAAAGACAGGCUCAGAUGCCUUCACUGGUGAAGUCUACCAAAUGUUUAAAGAAGAAAUAACACUAAUCCUUCACAAAUUCUUAAAAAAAUAAAACAAGAGAGAGAAUCCUUUCUAAAUGGAACCUGGAAGGACAUCAGGAAGAAAUUAGAAUAAUUCGAUAUUUACUUUUCCUUUCACCUCAGAAAGUUAGAAACCAGACAGGGAGAAGAAUAAUAUACAAUGUUCAAUAUUCUCUGCUGUCAUACUGACUUCCACAAAGGGGACUAGAGGAAGUGGAUAAAAGGGAUUCUGGACUGGGGAUGUAGCUUAGUGGUUAAGCACUUGCCUAGUGGGGGUGAGUUCCUGGUUUUGAUCUAUAGCACAGAAAAAAAAUCCAAAUACCAAAACACCAGAUUAAACAUUCUUCUCAAUUGAACAUGGAAUAUUCAAUGUAUUUUCUCUAACCACAGUGGGAUGAAAUUAAAAAUAAAGAAUGAAAAACAACCUGGUAAUGUGUAAAUUAAACAACAUACUUUACAUAAUUAAUGGGUCAAAGAAGAAAUCGCAAGAGAAAUUAAAAAAUAAUUUAAGAUGAAUGAAAAUUAAAAUAUAACAGUAAAACAUGACACAGUUAAAACUGGAUUUGGAGUGAAAUUUAUAGUGGAAAACUCUUACAUUAAAGAAGGAGAAAUUUCAAACAAAAAAAAUUUAGUUAAGAAACUAGAAAAACAAGUGCAACUAAACUGAAGCAAGCAAAAGAAAAAACAGAGUAGAAAUAACUAGUGAAUGGAAAAAUAAUAGAGAAAAAUCAAUGGAACUGAAAGUGAUUCUUUUAAAAGAUCAACAAAAUCACUAAACUUUUAGUUAUAUUGAUUAAGGAAAAAGGAGAGUUACUAAGUUACUAAAGUCAUAAUAAAAGUCAUAAUAAAAUACUGACUUUAUAAAAAUAAAAAGGACUGUAAGGGAAUAUUUCAAACAAUUGUAUGCCAACAGGUUAGAUAACCUAGAUGAAAUGGACAUAUUCUUAGAAAGGUUCAAGAUGUACAAAAUCUGAAUAAAUUGGUAUUGGAGGACCUAAAGUCCGCCCCUGGGCAUAGUGAUUCACUAGGAGGACUCACAGGAUUCAGUAUAGAGUUGUAUUCAUGGAUAUGAUUUAUUAUAGCAAAGGGAUACAAAGAAAUUAGGAAAGAAAAAAGACUCAUGAAGCAAAGUUCAGAGGAAACUAGGUGCAAGCUUCAAAGAGUCCUCUUUUCCUGUGGGGUCACAUAGAAUAUGCUCUAUUUCUUCAGCAUUGAAUUAUGAUAACAGAAGUGAAAUUUCUCAUCAGACUCAGUGCUCAAGAUUUUUACUGGGGGCUGGUUAUAUAGACACUCUGUAGCUGGCAUGCACCAAUAUUCUUCAUUUGUAGAGUAAAAGCAGAUGUUAGUAUAAACCAUAUUGAUGCCCAGUGAACCACUCUUAUUAUUUAGGAAAUGGUGGGAACUCUCCCAAAUUUCAAGUUCUCAAGUGCUAACCAAAGGUCAACCUUGCAAGCAGGACUUUCUAAGGAUAGGAGUCUUAGGUCUGUUAUAUUAACUGUUUUCUGCACAACCUAUAACAAAUAAAGAUAUAUAGCAUUAAUAAUCAGAAAACUUGCCACAAGAAAAGACCAGGCCCAGAUGGCUUCACUGGUGAAGUCUACCAAAUUAUUAAGGAAGAAAUAACACUAAUCCUUCACAAGUUCUUCAGAAAAACAGAGUAAGAGGGAACACUUUCUAAGUGAUUUUAGAGAAGAAUAUUGCCCCAAUAUCAAAACCAGACAAAGACAUCAUAAGAAAGCUAUAGAUGAAUAUACCUUAUGAAUACAUAUACAAAAAUUCUCAACAACAUAGGAACAAACAAAAUCUAUCAACAUUUAAGAAGAAUUAUAUUCCAUAACUAAAUGGAAUUCAUUCUGUGAAUGCAAGUUUGGCUUGAUGCCCAAAAAUCAAUCAAUGAUUAUAUUAAUAGAAUUAUACAUUAUAUUAAUAGAAUUAAAGAUAACAACUACAUAAUCAUCCAGAAAAAUCAGAAAAGCUUUUGACAAAAAAUAAUACUCUGUCAUGAUAAAAACACUCAACAAACUAGGAACAUUACAGAACUUCCUUAAUCUGAUAAAAGCCUCAAUGAAAAACUCCAGCUAACUUCCGCACGUAGUGGUGAAAGAUAGAAUGCUUUGUCCCUAAGAGCAGAAUAAGACAUCGAUGUCUGCUCCUCCCACUUCUACACAACAAUGGUACUGGAGGUGUGCUGAAUACCAGAGAGCCAUUUCCUAUCUUUCUGACUAUGUUAGGCCACUUUGAUUCUAGGUAUAACCCUAGGAGGAAAAGCAACCAUGAAGAUACUGACUGUGUCAAUAACCUGGUACUUGGAAAAUAAUAUUUUCUAAAUUUAAUUUAAAAGAACAUAGUAAUAUGACAUUUCUUAUAUCAGAAAGCUAUGGCACAAAUUCAUACUGUUAUCAGUGCUAUGAAGGUUAGAUGUGGCAAGAGCUACACUGGUGGGGAAGGACAAAAUAAGUGGGGGCAGGGUAAGUUGGGGACAGAAAGUCUUGAAAGGGAAGGUAUUUAAGCAGAAUCUGGAAAAAAGGAGUAGAUCUUUGUUAGGUGGUGACGCAACCUUGUAUGUAGUGAUGAAAGAUGGAAUGCAGGGGGAUGUGAACAGUAUGAAGACACUGAACAAACUAGGAAUAUAAUGGGACUUGCUCAACCUGAUAAAAGCCUUUAUGAAAAACUCACAGCUAACCUUGUAUGUAGUGGUGAAAGACAGAAUGUUUUGCCCCUAAGAGCAGGAACAAGACAAAGAUGCCUAUUUUCGCCACUUAAAACAACUAUGGAGGUGUGGAGGUAUGAAACAGUUUAGCUUAUCUGAGUAACAUUUAGUAAUUUAUUAAUGUGGCUGAAAUGGAGAAUGGAAGGGGCAUGGUGAAAGAUGAAAUAAUAAAAAUAGACAGAAGUGGGUCACAGGAAGCCCACUGAUCCCAUGAGGUGCUAUCCUCACACCCGUUUUCCAUGCAUGCUACCUUCUACACUCAUUUACUCAUUCUGUCCAUUUUUUUUUAAUGGUGCUUAACCUGCCAUCACCCUGCUUUUGGCUUGGAGUCUAGGGCUUGACUCUUUGCCUAUUCAGCCAAGGACUUUCCAUUUCUCCACCCAUUUGCAGCCCAACCAGCCCAUUGCCUGUGUACUCAGACUCCUGCUGGACACAUCCUGGCUGGAGUCCUGUCACUUCUGUGGCCAAUUAGGGCAGACAUGGCCUGGAAAGCUCUGGAAUGUAUCUCUAGGGACUCUGACAUUUUAAAUAGGAAACUGAAAGACCUAGGUGGUAUUUUCAUUUCUUUUUCUAGUUCACACAGACAUGACUUUGUAAGAGAAAUGAGGAUGUGGAGAGUGAGUCACUAGCUACAUAACUGGGACUAUACAGUGGACUUUGGUAAUUAAAAUGUUAUUUUCCUGGCAAUGGAUAGAUUUCAUCUCCUAAAGACUUGGAAAAAUUUUAGUUAUUUUUAUAUUUAUUUUUAACACAUUACACAAAACAAGUAUGUUAGUUUAGAAAAAUGUCAUAUUAUUAUGUUCUUCUAAAAAGCACAAAAGGACACAAAUAAUUAAGGAGAUUAUGCAAAAGAAAAAUAAGGGUAGGGCAAUAAUAGAGCUAAGAUUAGAUAAACUCUCAGAAAUACAAAUAAUCCAUUUUUGCUACAAGGAUCCUCACAACUUUUCCUGACAUAAUGUCUUGGAGAAGCUGUCUUAUGGAUUCUUGUUGAAUAGUGAAUAUGUUUCAGACAUCUCCUGCAAUCAGUAUAAUAACUUUCAUGUGGUUACAGAGUGGUUUAGAAUUUGGGACCUGGAGCUAGACUUUCUAGGUUCAAUCCUGGCUCUACUCUUUCAGCUUCAGAUUCCUUAUCUAUAAAACAGGGAUAAGAAUUCCUACCUUUUAGGAUGGUUGUGGGCAUAAAUGAAAAGUUGUAAAGUGUUUAGAACUGUAUCAGGCAUAUAGUAGACACUAUGGAGUAUUACAUUUUAAAAAUUAAAAAUAAAUUUAAUAAUUAUCAAUGUCUAUUCAAUUUUGUUAAAGUUAAUUGAACAUUUCUUAGAUAUAGAUAUAUAAAAGUACCAAAGAAUGCUAUCAAAACACAUGGCUCUCUUAUGGUCUGAAUUAAUCUAAGAGUGAAAUUUAUGGGAAUGGUGGACAACAUCUAUCUUUUAAAAAGACUGAGUAAAGCUCAUCUUCUGAGGAAAUUGAAGUAAAAUAUUCAAGUAAAGUAAAAAUAAUCUCUGAGGAAGACAGAAAGAUAAUAAUUUUCAAGUAAAAUCAGGGAGUGGAAAUAAUGGUUAAGACUGCAGUUGACUGAAGCUCAUAACUAGAAAAGUUACACAACUUUUGAUGAGGCCUCAUGGGUUGGCAUUAAUCACUAGGAUUCAAUUAUUGCAAUAUGGACUUGGUUCAGAAGAAAGAUUGGAGGAAAAGACAGCAUUGAAUAAAUUUAUACUUGUAGGGAAAUCCAGGAGCCUGAAAAUGAAAACAUAAUGGAACCAGCCAACUGGCUAAGCACAAAUUAGAAAAUGUAUUAUAUGUCUAGUCAGAUGGCAAAGGGGGAAUAAAUAAACAUUUAAUAAGCAUCUACUUCUGUGUCUGGGUUGGAAUGGCUAAUGGGAAACAGGUUCUCCUGCUUAGAACAAGUAGAAAAACUGCAUAAUUUACAGGACAAUUUGUUCGAAGGCAGUGAGAAGUUGCUGUGGCAAUGAGGAUUAGAGGUAAUUCAGUUUCUAGAAAGGGAGAAAUCCAGACAGAAGAGGGAAUUAUUACAGCUCCUUUUACUUUGAGGGUAUGUGUUGAUUCUGGGUUGGCCAGGAUGGUGGUAGUGCUAGUGGGGCUCAGGAAUCUAGGAUUUCUGACUCAUGAGGCACUUGUAAGGAACAGAGAAACCAGUAAAUCUUUAGGUGGAGACCUAGUGGUAGGGAGGAAUGGGACUCAAGCUAAAUUUCCACUCAGUACAUUUUCAUAGGGUUGUAUAUGUCAGGAGGCAAAAACAUUUAAGGAGAAAACCUCUAAAAAACAGUGUUUUAGCAGUUUUGGAAGGCAGUGAUUAGAUUCAAGGUAGGGGAUAUACACAGUACACUAGGCUUUCAGUUGAGAACUCUGAAAGGCCAUAACAUACCAUGACUAAAAUGAGACCAUGAGUACAGCCUAGCCUUGACUCAGCACAGUUCCUGAGUAGAGUAGGAUGAUAAGCUGCCACUUUAUCUGCCUGGGGAAGGGAAGGGUGAGCCCUUUCUAGAGGAAGCCUGUACCAACUGGAGACUCUACAAUUUUGUUUGAUUAUUUAUUUGUUUACUUACUUAUAGUAUUGGGGAUCGAACUCAGAGGCACUCUAUCACUGAGAUAUAAACCUAGUUUUUUCUUUCUCUCUCUCUCUCUCUCUUUUUUUUUUUUCAAUUCUGAGACGGGGUUUCAAUAAGUUGCUCAGGCUGGUCUUGAACUUUUGAUCUUCCUGUCUCAGCUUUCUGAGUAGCUAGAAUUAUAGGCAUGUGCCACUACAAUUUAUUUAUUGACAGUUCAUCUUUCACUAAAAUAUUGUCAAAUAUGCUGAAAAUCAGUAAAAUAUAUCUAAAAACCGAAAGAAAAAAGAGACAAUAAGAACAAAUCCACUUGACUCCGGUACUGGGGUUAGAUGAGAACUUCAAAUUGCCUAUGAUUAGUAUGUUAAAGAAAAUAGAUAAAAAUAUGAAGAAUUUCUCUAGAGAAUUAGACUCUGCCCCCCAAUCCCCAUUAAAAGUCUAAUUAAUUGCUGGGAGUGGUGGCACACACCUGUAAUCCCAAUGGCUCUGGGGGCUGAGGAAGGAGGAUUACAAAAGCCAGCCUCAGCAAUUUAGCAAGGCCCCAAGCAACUCAAUGAGACCCUGUCUUAAAAUUAAAAAUAAAAAAAGGGAUGGGGAUGUGGCUCAAUGGUUAAGUGCCUCUGGGUUUAAUCCCUGGUACUCAAAAAAAAAA